rnacentral:rRNA from 1 species
AUGGGCGGCGAGCGGCGGACGGGUGAGUAAUGCCUGGGAAUAUGCCCUGAUGUGGGGGAUAACCAUUGGAAACGAUGGCUAAUACCGCAUAAUCUCUUCGGAGCAAAGAGGGGGACCUUCGGGCCUCUCGCGUCAGGAUUAGCCCAGGUGGGAUUAGCUAGUUGGUGGGGUAACGGCUCACCAAGGCGACGAUCCCUAGCUGGUCUGAGAGGAUGAUCAGCCACACUGGAACUGAGACACGGUCCAGACUCCUACGGGAGGCAGCAGUGGGGAAUAUUGCACAAUGGGGGAAACCCUGAUGCAGCCAUGCCGCGUGUGUGAAGAAGGCCUUCGGGUUGUAAAGCACUUUCAGUCGUGAGGAAGGGUGUGCAGUUAAUAGCUGUACAUUUUGACGUUAGCGACAGAAGAAGCACCGGCUAACUCCGUGCCAGCAGCCGCGGUAAUACGGAGGGUGCGAGCGUUAAUCGGAAUUACUGGGCGUAAAGCGCAUGCAGGCGGUCUGUUAAGCAAGAUGUGAAAGCCCGGGGCUCAACC